rnacentral:rRNA from 1 species
AUGAACGCUAGCUACAGGCUUAACACAUGCAAGUCGAGGGGCAGCAUGGUCUUAGCUUGCUAAGACUGAUGGCGACCGGCGCACGGGUGAGUAACACGUAUCCAACCUGCCGUCUACUCUUGGACAGCCUUCUGAAAGGAAGAUUAAUACAAGAUGGCAUCAUGAGUCCGCAUGUUCACAUGAUUAAAGGUAUUCCGGUAGACGAUGGGGAUGCGUUCCAUUAGAUAGUAGGCGGGGUAACGGCCCACCUAGUCUUCGAUGGAUAGGGGUUCUGAGAGGAAGGUCCCCCACAUUGGAACUGAGACACGGUCCAAACUCCUACGGGAGGCAGCAGUGAGGAAUAUUGGUCAAUGGGCGAGAGCCUGAACCAGCCAAGUAGCGUGAAGGAUGACUGCCCUAUGGGUUGUAAACUUCUUUUAUAAAGGAAUAAAGUCGGGUAUGGAUACCCGUUUGCAUGUACUUUAUGAAUAAGGAUCGGCUAACUCCGUGCCAGCAGCCGCGGUAAUACGGAGGAUCCGAGCGUUAUCCGGAUUUAUUGGGUUUAAAGGGAGCGUAGAUGGAUGUUUAAGUCAGUUGUGAAAGUUUGCGGCUCAACCGUAAAAUUGCAGUUGAUACUGGAUAUCUUGAGUGCAGUUGAGGCAGGCGGAAUUCGUGGUGUAGCGGUGAAAUGCUUAGAUAUCACGAAGAACUCCGAUUGCGAAGGCAGCCUGCUAAGCUGCAACUGACAUUGAGGCUCGAAAGUGUGGGUAUCAAACAGGAUUAGAUACCCUGGUAGUCCACACGGUAAACGAUGAAUACUCGCUGUUUGCGAUAUACUGCAAGCGGCCAAGCGAAAGCGUUAAGUAUUCCACCUGGGGAGUACGCCGGCAACGGUGAAACUCAAAGGAAUUGACGGGGGCCCGCACAAGCAGUGGAGUAUGUGGUUUAAUUCGACGCAACGCGAAGAACCUUACCAAGUCUUGACAUCCUCUCGACCGGUCAGUAAUGUGGCCUUUUCUUCGGAACAAGAGUGACAGGUGGUGCAUGGUUGUCGUCAGCUCGUGCCGUGAGGUGUCGGCUUAAGUGCCAUAACGAGCGCAACCCUUGUUGUCAGUUACUAACAGGUUCCGCUGAGGACUCUGACAAGACUGCCAUCGUAAGAUGUGAGGAAGGUGGGGAUGACGUCAAAUCAGCACGGCCCUUACGUCCGGGGCUACACACGUGUUACAAUGGGGGGUACAGAGGGCCGCUACCACGCGAGUGGAUGCCAAUCCCCAAAACCUCUCUCAGUUCGGACUGGAGUCUGCAACCCGACUCCACGAAGCUGGAUUCGCUAGUAAUCGCGCAUCAGCCACGGCGCGGUGAAUACGUUCCCGGGCCUUGUACACACCGCCCGUCAAGCCAUGGGAGCCGGGGGUACCUGAAGUGCGUAACCGCGAGGAGCGCCCUAGGGUAAAACUGGUGACUGGGGCU